CGUUGCUGCGCGCUGUCAGUCCCGUCUGUGAGCGCAGAACAACCGCUCACAAAACAGCAGUUCGGGGAUGACGUCUCACACAUGGGUCCUCUGUCGGAAUAUAGGACAACCCGGACAUUUUUAUCAAUCUCGAAAAUCCCCCCGGACGCCCCGGACAGAACGUGAAAAGUGGACAUGUCCGGGGAAAAGAGGACGGUUGGUCACCCUACAAAUGGUCACAACUAUCGCCUGUCUGAUCACAAUGUACUAUAAACCUGUGAUGCAGGUAAUUAGCAGUCAGUUAGCUCAGUAGGAUGAGAAACAGACUUUAGCAGGAGGUCUGUAGUUCAACUUUGUCUUUUGGGAAUAUACCUUUUUCCCAUGUUUUCCCUUCAACACUGUUAAUUACCAGGCUUCAGAGGUUGACAGUGAUUUUGUGACCAUCACACAGAGCUAGGCUAGACCUUAAACCAGCGUCUCACUUGAGCAGCAGUGUACGAGGGAAAUUCUUGCGAUAGCGUCACACAGCCAUGUGGAACUGAUGAGAAAACUCAUGCAAGAGUUCAAGGAGCACAGACAUCUCAACAAGUGCUGGGAGGACACUGCAGGAAUCAGAGCUUCAUGGCCGACUCGCCACAAAGAAAGCCUGUGGGGGAGACCAGUAUGAAGAGAGAGUUGCUUGGGCCAAGAAAAACACAAAAAAUUAGACAUCAAGUCAGUGAAAGUCUGUACUUUGGUCUGAGGGAGCAAAUGAUGAGGUCUAAGAUUCCAGCGUCUACAUGUUUGAUAGAUGAGAGAAGGUGAUUGGAUGGUUUCUGCAUGUGUGAUUAGUGCAGCCAAAGCGUUCUGUCAGGUUUGAGCACUGUGGGGUCAUAAUUUGUUGGUUUUCUUUUUUAAACAGGACAAUGAACCAAGGAUGGUUUAACCAUAUAAUAGUCAGCUUUCUAAAACCAAUCGAGAGAACUCUCAGUUGAAAGAAAAGCACAGAGAAGCAAUCAGUCUGUCGAAGAACUUUUAAGAAUUCUGGAAAAUAUCCAAGUGAUGAAUUUUUGAAGCUGGCUGAGAAAAUGAAGAGUGUGCAGGGCUGAUGAACUAUCUCGUAAAGAGAAUAUACAAACUGCAUCAUCAUUUAAUGACAAUUUUAAGUAUCAAACUGUGGCCAGGGGAGAAAAAAAAGCAGAGACUUUUGUUUUUUA